GUUUGUGACAGGCAUUUGAAAAAGAGAUUUGAGAGAGAAAGGAUAUAAUAUAACAGCUGUAAUGAUCACAAAAAUCCUGAAUUUUGGGCCAAAUAUUUCAGUUUUAUCUGCUGCUUUUAAUUUUAACAAUUUAUCAGAGACUUUACAGCCAGUAACAAUGUUUAGGAAUCAUUCAAUGAGGCAUUGUUUAUGGGUGAUGAAUUGGUAUGCUAGGAUGAGUAGGCAAGUUGAAUAAGAUUGGAUUAUUAAAUGAUGCUCACAUGAAGCCUUCUAAUCCCUUAGAUCCUUUUCUCUCUCCCAAUAUGCAAAACAACAACAUUUUAGGGGUAGACUGCUUUGUGUGAAAUUCAUUCAAAUGAUUUAAAUCCUACUAAGGCUAUCUUAGCCAUGUCUGGCCAAUUCAAUAUUAUUUCAGCAUAGAUGUGUUGGAAUUAAUUUAACUAUGGGCUGACCCAGUCUUUAAUAUUAGGAGUUUUGGUUAGUCAUAAGAUUGUGAUUCCUUUUAUUAUGGAAUCGGUUGUUCAUGUAUAAGGAGGUUAUUUGAUGAACAAAAUGAUGUGAGUGAGAAUGGGUUCAUUCCACUUUAGAGUCUGUUAAUAUGCUGCUUCUUUUUAAUUAUUUUCUUUUUUCCAAUGAGAUUUAUCCCUUAGGCCCUAGGUCAUGAUUCUACUCUGGAUACAACAGCUACUCAUUAUAAACUUUAAGAUAAAAUUGAAAAUUAGCACAAAAAGGGAUGAAUGGUAUUUCAGCCAUGACAAUCACGCAGAUGAUACAAGUACUGCACACUGAAAUAGCUACACUGUGAUUGCCGCCACAACUCUGACUCCUUUCCAAUUCUUUAGUUUUAGAUAUGAAGAUUUCUUUGGUGCUAAAAAGAAGACAGUCCCAAAAAGAAAAUCCAGUUUAUCAAAUGGGUCUGAUGAAGACUCAGGCUUAAAUGAUGAUGGUGCAGUUGAGAAAAAGGGUGGUCUUUCUACCCAUGAAAAGCAACUUGAGAAGCUUCAAUCUGAGAUAGAGCAGAUGGAGAAAGCAAAUUUGGAGCCAAAAACAUGGACAAUGCGGGGAGAGGUCACGGCCGCUAGCAGGCCCAAGAAUAGUGCCUUAGAGGUCGAUUUGGAUUUUGAGCACAAUGUAAGGCCCGCCCCAGUAAUCACAGAGGAGAUUACUGCAUCAAUUGAAGAUAUGAUUAAACAGAGGAUCAUUGAGGGACGGUUCGAUGACAUUCAAAAGGUUUCUAGUUUACCCUCUACAGCACCAAAAGAAGUAAAACAAUUGGAUGAGAAUAAGAGCAAGAAGGGUCUUGCUGAAGUUUAUGAGGAAGAAUAUAUUCAGAAGACAAAUCCAGCUGCUGCUCCAAUAUCUUUCUCUGAUGAACAGAAGAAGGAGGCAAGUAUUCUGUUCAAGAAACUGUGCUUGAAGUUGGAUGCUCUCUCUCACUUCCAUUUUGCUCCAAAACCUGUUAUAGAGGACAUGUCUAUUCAAGCUAAUGUUCCUGCUCUUGCUAUGGAAGAGAUUGCACCGACAGCAGUUUCAGAUGCAGCCAUGCUGGCUCCUGAGGAAGUCUUCUCUGGCAAAGGGGACAUUAAAGAAGAAGCAGAAGUUACUCAGGCAGAGAGGAAGAGGAGGAGGACAUUAAAGAAGAAGCAGAAGUUACUCAGGCAGAGAGGAAGAGGAGGAGGGCUAAGAAGAAAAGAAAAUUUAAGGCUGAAGCAGUGAAAAGGAUGACAAAGAAAGCGCGAGACAACACCGCAUUGCUAAAUCACAAUGAG
rnacentral:misc_RNA from 1 species